CCCACUGAAGAAGGUUUCUUCAACAGGACGCAAGACCUCUUUAGCCUUCUGCUCCACUGAUGGGGACUUCUCAGUGAUCUGUUUGCACAUUCUUUUCCUGCCUGGUAAUUAGCACCAGCUGUCUCAACUUGAAAGGAAGGAAUCCCUUUGAAAUCCUCCCUAUCCUCCGUGAAUGUGCUACUGAACAUGCUAAUUAGCAAGUGGACUUAGGACAACACAGACAUGUGUUUCCUGUGAGUGUUGGAGAAGGAAGAGGAGGAGAGAGGUGUACAUCUGUCUAGUUGGUGGUCUAAUGCAGAACUGAAGAGGCAAACCCAAGAGUCUUCAUGGACAACUGGCUGAGAAUCCUGAGACCUGGACAGCCGUGCCUGCAUAGGUUUGGCCCUGAAUCCGUAAGGGCAACAAUAAAAGGUUUAAGGCCAGGCGUCCAGAGAAGUUGCUGCUUGAAGUUAUUCUCUGAUGGCAUGAAGCUGGAAGCUGGUCUAAGGUGCAGGGGAACAAAAGGUCCCAGCUGUUCCAGCGGAUGACCACGUUGCAGGAUCUGCUGUCCACAAGAAGUGGUCCUGGCAAAUUGCAUUUCAGACCAAAAAUUCCUCACCAAUACAAUGAUUUUUCUCCAUUUUCCAG